ANCCAUGCAAGUCGAAUGGUUUUCGCAACCAUGGCGUACUGNUCAGUAACACGUAGAUAACNUACCNUCCGGCAGGGGAUAAUCCCGGGAAACUGGGCAUAAUCCCCUAUAGAUAACUUGUGCUGGAAUGCCUCGUUAUUCAAACCUCCGGGGCCGGAGGACGGGUCUGCGGCGGAUUAUGGUAGUAGGUGGGGUAACGGCCCACCUAGCCUGUGAUCCGUACCGGACAUGAAAGUGUGUGCCGGGAGAUGGCCACUGAGACGAGGGGCCAGGCCCUACGGGGUGCUGCAGGCGCGAAAACUCUGCAAUGCGCUCACGCGUGACAGGGGAAUCCCGAGUGCGUCCUUAGCCGGACGCUUUUCUCGAGUGUAAAUAGCUCGAGGAAUAAGGGGAGGGCAAGGCUGGUGCCAGCCGCCGCGGUAAAACCAGCUCCCCGAGUGGUCAGGAUGAUUAUUGGGCCUAAAGCGUCCGUAGCCGGGCAUGCAAGUCACUGGUUAAAGCACGGGUCUUAAGCCCGAACCUGCUAGUGAUACUACAAGCCUUGGGACCGGAAGAGGCAGAUGGUACGUUAGGGGUAGGGGUGAAAUCCUGUAAUCCUUAACGGACCACCGGUGGCGAAGGCGAUCUGCUGGGACGGAUCCGACGGUGAGGGACGAAACCCAGGGGAGCGAGCGGGAUUAGAUACCCCGGUAGUCCUGGGCGUAAACGAUGCGCACUAGGUGUUGGCGGAGCUAUGAGCUCUGCCGGUGCCGAAGCGAAGGCGUUAAGUGCGCCGCCUGGGGAGUACGGCCGCAAGGCUGAAACUUAA
rnacentral:rRNA from 1 species